rfam:Geobacteraceae bacterium GWC2_58_44 gwc2_scaffold_36873, whole genome shotgun sequence.
CGCGGCCGCUGGUAACAGCUGCCGUGAUGGGGCAGGAGUCAGCAAAAGCCAUAGUAGGCGUAGGACGCCGCCAUCAGCGAUCUGGCGGCUGGACACAAGCCCGGGAAAGUCCGGGACGACUUACCCCGCCGAAGGGC